rnacentral:tRNA from 4 species
GCACUGUUACUCAAGCGGUUAAGAGGGUGGAUUGCAAAUCCAUUAUUCGGCAGUUCAAAUCUGCCACAGUGCUCCA